rnacentral:tRNA from 1 species
GGGACGCUCCGUGGGGUGGGCGGGCGGCGGUCCGGGCCCGGCGCGGGCAUCAGCGGGUUCGGGGGUCCGGCCGUUCCCCGUCGGCCGUGCCCUC